rnacentral:rRNA from 1 species
CCCUUAGAUGUCCGGGGCCGCACGCGCGCUACACUGAAGGAAUCAGCGUGGCUUUCUCCCUGACCCGAAAGGGUUGGGAAACCCGUUGAAUCUCCUUCGUGAUAGGGAUUGGGGCUUGAAAUUGUUCCCCAUGAACGAGGAAUUCCCAGUAAGCGAGAGUCAUAAGCUCGCGUUGAUUACGUCCCUGCCCUUUGUACACACCGCCCGUCGCUACUACCGAUUGAACGGUUUAGUGAGGGCCUCGGAUUGGUCUCGGCCCGCUCUUUACCGGGCGGCGCCGUUGGUCGAGAAGACGCUCGAACUUGAUCGUUUAGAGGAAGUAAAAGUCGUAACA